UACAGAGGGUGCAAGCGUUAAUCGGAAUUACUGGGCGUAAAGCGCGCGUAGGUGGUUCGUUAAGUUGGAUGUGAAAUCCCCGGGCUCAACCUGGGAACUGCAUUCAAAACUGUCGAGCUAGAGUAUGGUAGAGGGUGGUGGAAUUUCCUGUGUAGCGGUGAAAUGCGUAGAGAUCCGGAGGAACACCAGUGGCGAAAGCGGCCACCUGGACUGUACCUGACGCUGAAACGCGAAAGCUAGGGGAGCGAACGGG
rnacentral:rRNA from 1 species